CUUCAAUUUAAAAGGUAAUUUUGUAUGUAGCCAAAAUAACUCAAAAUACCGUGACUGUUGACUGUUGACCGGUGGAUGACACUCAGGUGUACAGCUGUUUUAAUGAAAGCUACUCACAAGAAGGACCGUUUAGUUUUCAAUAUUUUUCACAAUACAACUUAUGUAAAUAUGGUUUAUUCUGAGUUCAUACUGCUGGGAUUAAAAGAAGGGUAAAAGAAAGCCCAUUUAUACAUCAGUGACGGCAACCCGCUAUAACUCUCUGGUUGUCCUAUAUAGAAAAACUAAAUCUAAUAUCAAAACAAAAGCAAAGAAACGUUCUGUACUGGUAGUUUCUUGUUAUUGUUUCUCUAUUAAGGUGCAAUUAAAGCAUGUACUAAUAACGCAAAUUUGCAAACAAAAUAUGCUCAUACCAGCAUAUAUACGAUAUAUAUUGCAAUGUUUUCGUGAAUCUUUUGGCGAUCUACAUUUCCUUUGUACUAACUGGUGUCGUGGUUAGAAUGCUAAACACAACAGCCCGAGGCUACGAAUCUGCUAAAAAGAAUAGCACUUUGUUUCACUGUGAACGUGAACAAUAUAACCUCACAGUGACAAUUAUUUCUGAUUUCCUUUUCGCUAUAAUGAGUUCUUUGUUCGGGCUCAAAUAAAUUUUACGAUCUUGAAUAAAUUACGUGAUAUUCUCUUGGUUUCUAAUAAUUGUUACCACAGCCAUUUAAACAAUUUACUGCUUGGGACUAAAAUUAUCGUUAGAGGUUGACAAGCUACGCAAAAGAGCAGCUUUCAAUUAAGCUACUCAGGAUUGUCAUCAUGACUUCAUUGGGUCUCACAUCUCAUUCAAGUGCGUCAAAGCUAAGAAAAGGUCUGUCAAAUCGGAUUUAAUUAUUGUCAGCUGAAUUUAUCAGCCACCAGGAAGGAAAUUAAUCAAAAUGUCGUCAACUAGAGCACGUCAUAGGUAUGCAGUACUCAAAGUUUAAACUCGACCCCCAUCUGAGAAGCUCAUCAUCAGUUACAUCGUAGCUAACACUCCAAAUCCUACACCACUUAGUUCCAUGUGACCUAGCUUUAUGUAUGAACAGCAGAACACUGUUAAAAAUUUGCAUAGUCGGACGGCUAAGACAGAAGACAACGAAUCAUUAAGUAAUGAACCUGUGGGUAUGGCUUGUGACUAAGUGCAUGUGUGUUCCUAUUUGAACAAAACCCCAAGAAAGCAAGUCUGGAAGAGGCUCACCUUCAGUUGACAUCGACAGUGUUGCUCACGUUGGAAUAUACACCAACCGCAGUUGAGCCCACUCUGUACGACUUAUUUGGUUGAUAUCACAACAUAACCUCUUCUCUUCGUAGGAAGCUAUUUAGAGCUCAAGGAAAAAGCGUCUCAAGUCAUUUAAUUGCUGUCAUCUGGCUUAAAGACAAGCACCUUAAUGACGCCCCCAGGAACGAGGGCUACAUUGUAGUGCAAGACAAUCCAAGUAGAUAAUCCUUCAUCAACUGGAACUCAGUUCUGUGAAAUCAGCUGCCCAUACUCGAUUUUUUAACUCAACCCACAAGAAGUCUUCCCAUUACAUCUUAGAUUGCUGAAUUAAACCUACGCAUGCGUUGAAAAGGACUAUUGAAGACGUCGAACCUAUCGCUGAGAUACAGACGCGAUCAGAUUACCGAAGUGUGCCGGGAGCAGGGCGUUUUAAAAAUGUUGCUUUCCGUUUCCAAAGUCGUGGUAGGGAUUUUGCUGAUCGUCAUUGUCACGGCUAAACAAAAAAGCAGACAAUAUUGGCCAAGACCAACUUCAGAUUGUGAAGUGCGAAAAGGCUUCCUCCAGAUGCAAAGUGACGGGUGCAAGUUCAAAAUUUCAACUUCUGGUUGUAGCGGCAAAUGCUUGUCGUCGGCGAAACCUUUCAGCCAUAGAAUUGGAUUUGCUUCAAGUUGCUCGUGCUGUGCACCCAUCGAAGCUACUAUCAAAGAAAAAUCAGUGAACUGCCACGGAGUAAUAAAAGUGAUUCGCUACCCAGAAGCAAAGAAAUGCGCCUGCAGACCGUGUUUAAACGGCUGACAUUAUAUAUCCGUCGUGCGAAGUUUUGAAGUGAAGCAAAGAGUUUUCGUCUUGUAAAGAGAAUGGUGCUGACGUCGCGACUUGCGUGGAUUUAAAAACAUCAACCGAGUACUAGCUCAGUAAUAUUGGAGUGGGAUUAGAGAAGAAGCCGUUAAAAAAAAAUAUAUAUAUAUAUAUAUUUAGAGUUUGGAAAAGUUUCGAAGGGCUCUUGAAAAAGACGUGAAUAUCGCCGAGCAAUAAUUAGACUUAAGGUGGAAGUUAACUUAAGACAGUUUAUUGUUGCGUUACGUGGUUUGUAAUAUACCAGGCCGUCUAUUAAUUUUGUGGUUUUACUUUUGUACCCAACUGCAUGCAGGUAACAUUGGGUUUCUUCACAGUACAUGAUAACGUGUUAUCAGGGGCAGAUAACGUUGUAUGAUUGAAAUUUAUAUAUCAUGCAAAGAGCAGCUCAUUAUUGCGCAACAGCGUGCAAUCUUCUUGGAAGCCGGUUUCGCAGGGAAGCACGAUUAACUGAAAACAUGGUAAGAAAAAUCGUUACGGUCAAUUUUUAAUAUCAAAUAGGUUGAUGUCGUUAAGAAUAUUUGCGAGCUAUAGAGCUAUGCAUUGAUCUUGAGAUGUUUUUCAUUGCAAAAGGCAAUUAAAAUUAACAUGAAUUAGACCGAUGUUGCCUACGGCGUGUUGCGGUUCCAUGAGCAAUUUACGUUUAGUUAAUUUUGUUCUUUUUCGCAGACAUCAAAUGUCGUUUGUUGAAACAAAAAGGCAAAGCAUAAUAACAAACCCUAUGGUCAACGCUAGGUCACUUAGAGGUUAUAAAACAGCGAAACCAACGGCGUAUAAACUGUGUGCAUAAAGGGAGGUGAUUAUAUGUAAAAGGGAUUACCUGUGUAUAGAUUUAAACGGCUUUGGACACUUCUAAAUAUUGUAAAUCAAUUUCUCUUAUUAAGUCUAAGUAAUAAGAAACAUAACACUAGUGUAAAUAUUUUCCAUAGAACUGAUCCCAGUUCUUCAUGUACAGAGGCAGUCGGCUUAUAUGACGCUGCAAACUGAUAAAUAGUCCCGAAUGUAGGCGGAAGACUAAUUGUUCAUUCACAAUUUAUGAUGACUGAAACACAAUAUGAAUAAUGGAUUUAAAUAGCAACCUAAAGGUUGUAAGCAAGAUAACGUAUAUAUAAGACCUAAACAGUAUGAAGUAUCACGCAAGUUGAAAAGAACAAAAAAAAUAAAGCACGUAAUUUGUUUAAACUGUA